rnacentral:rRNA from 1 species
UGCGUAGGUGGCCAGGUAAGUUUGGUGUGAAAGCUCGGAGCUUAACUCCGAAAAGUCAUUGAAUACUAUCUGGCUGGAGGGUCGGAGGGGAGACUGGAAUUCUCGGUGUAGCAGUGAAAUGCGUAGAUAUCGAGAGGAACACCAGCGGCGAAGGCGAGUCUCUGGACGACUCCUGACACUGAGGCACGAAAGCUAGGGAGCAAACA